rnacentral:rRNA from 1 species
UACGGAGGAUGCAAGCGUUAUCCGGAAUGAUUGGGCGUAAAGCGUCCGCAGGUGGCUGUGUAAGUCUGCUGUCAAAGAGCGAAGCUCAACUUCGUAAAGGCAGUGGAAACUACACGGCUAGAGUGCGUUCGGGGCAGAGGGAAUUCCUGGUGUAGCGGUGAAAUGCGCAGAUAUCAGGAGGAACACCGGUGGCGAAGGCGGAUCUCUGGGCCUGUCCUGACGCUGAGGCGCGAAAGCUAGGGGAGCGAACAGG